GGUCGUAUGGCGCAGUGGUAGCGCACUUCCUUGACAUGGAAGGGGUCGCUGGUUCGAACCCAGCUACGACCA
rnacentral:tRNA from 1 species